rnacentral:rRNA from 1 species
UACGUAGGUCCCAAGCGUUGUCCGGAUUCACUGGGUAUAAAGGGUGCGCAGGCGGUCUUGUGCGUCAGAGGUGAAAUAUCCGGGCUUAACCCGGAGGGUGCCUUUGAUACGGCAGGACUUGAGUACGAGAGAGGAUGAUGGAAUUCCUGGUGUAGCGGUGAAAUGCGUAGAUAUCAGGAGGAACACCGGUGGCGAAGGCGGUCAUCUGGCUCGUAACUGACGCUCAGGCACGAAAGCGCGGGGAUCAAACAGG